UGCUCAGCUUCUGGGGAGGCCCUCAGGGAGGUUUUCCUCAUGGUGGAAGGCGAAGCAGGAGUAGGCACGCCACAUGGUGAGAAUGGGAGCAAGGGGUGAGGAGGGGCCACACACUUGCGAACAACCAGAUCUGAGUGAACACACUCAUCGCCAAGGAGAUGGCGCUAAGCCAGUUAUGAGGGAUCCGCCCCCAUGACCUAAACACCUCCUUGCAGGCCCCUCCUUCAACACUGGGGAUUACAUUUCGACAAGAGAUUUGGAGGGGACAGCCCAACUAUGUCAUUAUCCCCCUGACCCCUCAAAUCUCAUGUCCUUACAUCACAAAAUAGGAUCAUCUCUUCUCAACAGUCCUCUCAAUGUCUUGACUCAUUCCAACAUCAAGUCCAAAGUCCCAAGUCCAAGUCCCUUCCACCAAUGAACUUGUGAAAAUCAAAACACAUUAUUUACUUUGAAGAUACAUGAGGGUGGAGGCAUUGGGUAAACAUUCCCAUUCCAAAAGGGAGAAAUCAGCCCAAAGGAAGGGGCUACAGACCCCAUGCAUGUCUGAAAUCCAGCAGGGCAGCCAUUAAAUCUUAAAGCUCCAAAAUAAUGUCCUUGGACUCCCAGUCCCACAUCCAGGGUACACUGGAGUGAGGGGUGGGCUCCUAAGGCCUUGGGGAACUCCACCCUUGUGGCUUUGCAAGGUUCGCACCCUGCAGCUGCUCUCAUGGGUUGGAGUUGUGUGCCUGCAGCUUCUCCAUGCUCAAGAUGUAAGCUGCCAGUGGCUCUACCAUUCUGG
rnacentral:lncRNA from 1 species